GAAUAUAAUUUAUUUAUUAAUUUUGUUUUUUAUUUUAUUUUAAUAAAAAUAAUUUUAAUAAUUUUAGUUUUAGUAUUUUUUAUAAAAAAAAUAAUUUUAAUUAUAUUGAAUUAGUAUUGUAAAAGAAAGUUGAAAUAAUUUGAAAAAUUUUUAGUAUAAAAGAAGAUUUAAUUUAUUGUACCUUGUGUAUCAGGGUUUAUUAAAUAAUAAAUAAUUAUAAUUAUUUUUCUCGAAUUUUAAAGAUUUAAUUAUGUGUAAAAGUUAAUGUUGAAUAAUUAUUUUUAACAUAUAAUUUGAAAUGAAAUGUUAAUCGUUUUAAAAUAUAUCUAGUUUUUUAAGAAAUAAAUUUAAUUUAGAUUUAUAAAUUUAAUAAAUUAAUUAUUUAAUUUAUUAAAUUUAUAAAAUUAAUAUUUUAAGGGAUUAGCUUUAAAAUAAAUUUUUAAAUUUUUAAAUUUUAUUUAAUAAAAUGUAAGCUUAAAAUUAGUUAUCAUUAGUAAUUUUGUUAUAAAUUAUUUUUUUUUUAUAUUAUUUAAUUAAAAAAUUAAAUUUUUUAUUAAUAUAUAUAUUUAAAUUUUAUAAAUAUAUAAAUUAUGAUAAAAUUAGUAUAUAAAAUUAUAAUAAUAAUUAAAUUUGAUAGGUUUAAUUAAGGAAUUAGGCAAAAUUUAUAUUCACCUGUUUAUCAAAAACAUGUCUUUUUGAAUUUAAUUUAAAGUCUAACCUGCCCACUGAAAAUUUUAAAGGGCCGCAGUAUUUUGACUGUGCGAAGGUAGCAUAAUCAAUAGUCUUUUAAUUGAAGGCUUGUAUGAAUGGUUGAAUGAGAUAUAAACUGUCUUUUUUAAAAUUUUUUAGAACUUUAUUUUUUAAUAAAAAAGUUAAAAUAAAAUUAAAAGACGAGAAGACCCUAUAGAUCUUUAUUUUUUUUAUAUAUAAAUUAAUAAGAUUAUAAAAAUUUAUAUAAAAAAAAAAAUUUUAUUGGGGUGAUAUUAAAAUUUGAAUAACUUUUAAAAUUAAUAACAUUAAUAUAUGAAUUUAUGAUCCAAUUUUAUUGAUUAAAAAAUUAAGUUACCUUAGGGAUAACAGCGUAAUUUUUUUUUAGAGUUCAUAUCGACAAAAAAGAUUGCGACCUCGAUGUUGGAUUAAGAAUUAUUUUUAGGUGUAGAAGUUUAAAGUUUAGGUCUGUUCGACCUUUAGAUUCUUACAUGAUCUGAGUUCAAACCGGUGUAAGCCAGGUUGGUUUCUAUCUUUAAUAAAUUAUUAUAUUAUAGUACGAAAGGACCUAAUAUAAAAAAUAUAAAUUUUAAAUUAAUGAAUUAUAAUAAAUUUAAAUACUAUUUUGGCAGAUUAGUGCUAUAAAUUUAGAA
rnacentral:rRNA from 1 species